AUUGAACGCUGGCGGCAGGCCUAACACAUGCAAGUCGAACGAGUGGCGGACGGGUGAGUAAUGUCUGGGAAACUGCCGGAUGGAGGGGGAUAACUACUGGAAACGGUAGCUAAUACCGCAUACCAUCGGAUGUGCCCAGAUGGGAGUAGCUAGUAGGUGGGGUAACGGCUCACCUAGGCGACGAUCCCUAGCUGGGCUGAGAGGAUGACCGGCCGCACUGGAACUGAGACACGGUCCAGCCUCCUACGGGAGGCAGCAGUAGGGAGUAUUGCCCCAUGGGCGCAAGCCUGAUGCAGCCAUGCCGCGUGUAUGAGGAAGGCCUUCGGGUUGUAAAGUACUUUCAGCGGGGAGGCGUUACCCGCAGAAGAAGCGCCGGCUAACUCCGUGCCAGCAGCCGCGGUAAUUC
rnacentral:rRNA from 1 species